rnacentral:rRNA from 1 species
GGGAGGCAGCAGUGGGGAAUAUUGCACAAUGGGCGCAAGCCUGAUGCAGCCAUGCCGCGUGUGUGAAGAAGGCCUUCGGGUUGUAAAGCACUUUCAGCGGGGAGGAAGGCGAUAAGGUUAAUAACCUUGUCGAUUGACGUUACCCGCAGAAGAAGCACCGGCUAACUCCGUGCCAGCAGCCGCGGUAAUACGGAGGGUGCAAGCGUUAAUCGGAAUUACUGGGCGUAAAGCGCACGCAGGCGGUCUGUCAAGUCGGA